ACGGGGUGCAGCAGGCGCGAAAACUCCGCAAUACACGAAGGUGUGACGGGGGGACCCCAAGUGCUCUCGCGCAAGCGAGUGCUUUUGUGAAGUGUAAAUAGCUUCAAGAAUAAGAGCUGGGUAAGACCGGUGCCAGCCGCCGCGGUAACACCGGCAGCUCGAGUGGUGAUCACUAUUAUUGGGCCUAAAGCGUCCGUAGCCGGUUUGAUAAGUCCUUGGGUAAAUCCUGCCGCUUAACGGUAGGAAUUCUGGGGAUACUGUCAGACUUGAGGCCGAGAGAGGUCGGAGGUACUCCUGGGGUAGCGGUGAAAUGCUAUAAUCCUAGGGGGACCACCAGUGGCGAAAGCGUCCGACCAGAGCGGGCCUGACGGUAAGGGACGAAAGCCAGGGGAGCGAACGGGAUUAGAUACCCCGGUAGUCCUGGCCGUAAACGCUGUGGGCUAGGUGUUGCAUGCUCUACGAGGGCGUGCAGUGCCGUAGAGAAGUUGAUAAGCCUACCGCCUGGAAGUACUAUCGCAAGAU
rnacentral:rRNA from 1 species